GGGGAGAGAGGUUGGUCAGCACAGCAGAGAGAAGAAGCCAAGUCCACGGAAUGGAGAGGAGAGCACAGCAAGAGUUGGUCAGAGCACAGAAAGCAGAAGCCUUUUCUUUCGGUUUAAUCUUUCCAAACUCCUAUUUUAUUUUUGUUUUAAUAAUGUGUAAUUAAUUUUAUUUUGGCUAGAGGUUAAGUCGAAACCAUGAAUAUAUUUGUAAUAUGAAUUGAUUACCUUCGGUUGUGAUUUCAUAAGUUGUGUUUUCAAUUUACUUAUCCGUUCGUAUAAAAACUGAUUUGUGUAUGUUGGUUGAGAGUGCACGCUUAAUUUACAUGCAUGAAUUUGAUGCUAGAAUAUAAGUGAAUUUCACCUAAUCGUUAUGAACUUAUUUUCACAAGUAGUAAAGGUUGCUAGUCACAAUCACGUUAAGUAAAUUCUUGGCAAGAGUAUCAUGCUUUUCAUAGUUACGAAUGCCUCGUCAAUGCUUAUAGUUUUCACAAAGUUUAAUGAUCUUUGAUUGUAUCUCUAUUGUGCUUUUCACGUAGGGGGACUUUUGAAGAAUGUUUUGAAUUGUUGUAUGCGUUUUCCCGUCCAAUUCAAUAACUUAAGGAAAACUUGAAGAUUAAAAAAGUGCUGUUCACGGUUAAUCUGAAGUGUUGAGAUUCACAAUUUAUUGAAAGAACAACUGAAAAUCAAUUUAAGUUGCAUAUGUGUCAUGUGUGGAGAAGAACCCUCUAGCUAGUCCGUCAUUUAUCAUUUUACCUUAAUUUCAUGUUUUUGUCAAUUCUGUAAUUUAAUUAAGUUUAAUUUACUUUUCAUCAAAACCAAACACCCAUCCAUUAUUAAAUUAUAUUAUUUAGUUAGUUUUUCUUUAUUGUUAGUCUUUUAAUUUAAUUUCCGUCCAUUUCAGUUCCUAGUGUUUAAUUUAAUUGUUUUCAUUAUUUUGAGUCAUUUUAAGUGUGUUUCGAGUUAUUAGAGUUUUUAGCCUAAUUUUAUGUCCUUGAGUCUUAUUUAAUAUUUUUAAAUUAAUUUAGAAUAGAUUAGCAAUCCCUCCUAAUCCCCGGCCUAGAACGAUACCCUACUUACAUCUAUACUACAAUUGUCAAAAAGAGGGUUUAAUUUUGUGUGUUAACUUAUUUUUCACAUCAAAUUUUGGCGCCGUUGCCGGGGAUUAGCAACUUUGCUAAUCCUUUUAUUUUUGUUUUUGUUUAUGUUUAUAUUGGUGUUUGUGUAUUUUACUUUUGAUAUUUUGAUUUAUUUUUCUUUCUUUGAUUUUAGGUUCAAAUGGAGCCGAGGGAAAUUUAAAGGAAAGAUGCGUCCGGCUAAAGACGUUAAAUCAAGCGCUUCUUGGGAGGCAACCCAAGCAUUCAACGAAGAGAGACUUUGGAAUCGCUAACCCAAUCAGAUUUGCAUUUUUACACCCUUAUCUUUAAUGCUUUCAUUUUGUCUUGUUUAGUUAGUUGUGUUAUUUGUUUGAUUUCUGUGAGUUUGUGUUAUUUAGUUUAAGUGUGGGGGAAGGUUAACCAAAGUCUCUUUACAUUAAUUUAAAUUUAAAAAAAAAAAAAAAAAUUUAAAAAAAAAAAAAAAAGAUAAAAUUUAAAAAUUAAUGAUAAAAAAAAUAAAAAAAAAAAAAAAAAACAAUUAAAAAAAUCAAAAAAAAAAAAACAUAAAAAAAAAAAAAAAAAAAAAAAAAAAAUGCAAAUAUUUUUACAAUAAUGUAAACUAAUAGUAUUCAUUGGUCGGGUGGUGCUUCAGUAGUAGGCGGGGCUUCAGCAGUCGGCGGGGCCACAGAAGGAGGAGGCAGCAGAGGUUGAUCAGUUGGAGCUUCACUACGCGGUGCCGCUCCAGAAGACGAAGGCAGAUGUUGUUGGAACAAACCCACAAAACCUCCGAUGAUCAAGUAAAAUUUGACCAUCGGUGUCCUGCAUCUGGUCAAUCUUCCUCUUCAUGCUGGUGGCAUAGCUGUGUGCGAGCUUGUGCAAUUCCUUAUUCUCAUGCUUGAGCCCUUUAAUCUCUUGCUUGAGACUCUGUAUUUCAGCCACCAAGGAUUCAACGUGACGGGUUCGGGCAUAUAGGCGUUGGGCCAUGUUGGAUACGGAACCCGCACACUGCACACUGAGAGCCAGAGACUCCUUGACUGCCAAUUCAUCAGACCGCCUUGCGAGCAGUCUGUUAUCUCUGGGAGUGACAAGGUUUCGGGCCACCACCGCAGCUGUCAUAUCAUUUUUAUCACCGAAUCCCCCACGGUAAGGGGACCGGUAGGGGAUAUGAAGGAUGGCCGCCAUAUGUUGUCUGGUGAAGGCGGAGCUGCCUCUUCACCAAUGUUCAAGUCAAAACGACGAUCAGAAGGGCCAGACAUUUUUCAGAGGUGGUAAAGAAUGAAGAGAGUUGGACUGAUCAAGAUUAAACAAGUGCAAGAAGGGAGUGUUUACAGGAGGGAGCUCAAGUGUGUUGUGGAACAAGCUUAACGUCUCUAUAAAAAGGAAGAAAUCAAAGAGGCGCUCCUCAGAGAAGCGUCCUCUCGCAAAUCGAAGAGUCGGGGCUCCGUUCUCAAACGUCUGAUUCUUUUCUCAAAAGAGGAGUUUCCUUUCUCAAAAGCCGGAUUCUUUUCUCAAAAGAGGCGUUUCAUUUCUUAAAGGCUGGGCUUGCUCAGAAACCACGAGCCGAACCCCGGAUUUCAAAAGAUCAAUUUGUCCAGACGUGUCGUCACUUGUCACACGCAAAUUGCUUUGCGGAAAUCUCGGGCAAUUUGUCGAAGCACCAAUUCAGAAAUCGAAGAGGGAAAUUCAACAGUCAAAGACACGCUAGCUUUCUCAAAAGCUGGGCUUCAACCCACGGGAAAAUCUUCUUUUCCAGAUUUAUCCGCACGUGUCACAUGCUACCUCUACAAUCGACGAUGCUCAGAGCUCGAAGCGCCGAUUACAGAUAUCAAUGAGGAAUCAACUUUGCGGAAAUUACGGGCAGCUUUGUCAGAAAGCGCGUAAUUUGUAUUCUUCACCCAUCCACCGGCUGCCGACACUAAGUGAGAGAACAGUUCCGGUUGUGAAGACAAGUCCUAUAAGUUUCUACCUUCGCCUUCCACAGCAAAAGCACACUCUCUCAGCACACCCUCUCAACACCUCUUCAUCUCCGAAAAUGCAUUCCCAAAGAAUCCUCUCGAGUCACUCUGUGUUCCUCAUUCCUUGGGAUACUCCUGCGAACAACCCAUUCAAAGCAAAAGUAUUUCAUAUCAUAAAGGUUGAAAGCAAGAGUAUCUCAUAUCAUGCUUUCUCCAUGUCCUUCUCCUUGUCUUUGUUUUCCGACAAGGAGAAAGAGAGCAAUCAGCCAGCAUUUGGUAUCAAUCUUCCAAUCUGGAGCCAACUGCCUGGAACCCUUUCCUGAUUGCUUACCUAGCCUUGCUCUCGAGUACUCAUCUUCAUCAUUUUAUGCUUUCUCUUCGUCUACCACAUCUGCCUGGGGGACAGUAAGGGAAGUGAAAAUGAUACCUCGAAGCAUGUGGAGAUAAUUCAGCUAGGGACAAGGAGAAAGAGAGCAAGAGGUGGGCACUUGGAAAGAUUGAAGAAAGAAAUAAGGACCAACACCUUUCCCUCGUGCCUGCCCGUUGUGCAGAAGAAACAAGCAGAGAAGAAUGCAGCUUGCACAAUCAUCCCAGCGGAAGGAGUCCGAACUGAGGAACUAGAGAAGCUGCCACAUCUGCUUGGAGAACAAAUAAGGAACUGCAACAUAACCAAAGAGCAAAGCUUCGCCGUACAAUAUCAUAAAAUCAUCACUUGCAAGUGAAAAGCUAAGUGUCACCCUGUUCAAGAGGAAAGCUGUGGAAAGUCAACAAGCACGACCAAUGAUUACUUAUUAGUUUUAUUCAUUAUCUUUUAUCGUAAUUUUCAAUUUUUCGUUUGCAAUUUUUUUUUAAUUAAUUUUCUUGCGUACUUAACUGAAUUAUUUCUUUUCUUUGCAGGAACUUUUGGUUAUUUCCACACUUGAAGUUGAUUGCAGAAUUUUAGCUUGGGGGUCAUCGCUUGAUUUUACUGCAAAUUAGGGAAGUUUUCAGUCCAAUUGCUUUAUUUUGUUUUUUUUUUAUUUUUGUUUAUUUUAUUUAUUUUUGCAUUAUAGUGUUUUCUGACAUUGGGGACAAUGUCAAGUUUAAGUGUGGGGGUAGAAAUCUCCAGAAUUUCAUUUGUCUCUGUGUUGUUGUUUUUUUUUUUUUGUGUUCUUAAUUAGUUUUGUUUUCUUUUAAAAAAAAAAAAAAAAAAAAAAAAAAAAGUUAAAAAAAAAAAAAAAAAAAAAAUCGGAAAAUUUAAAAAUCCAAAAAAAUAUUGUCUUGUUUCCCUUAUUGUUCUGAAUCAGAUUUUUGUUAGUUUCCCGACCCAAUGAUAUAAUUGGAUCAAAAAUUUGAACCAUGAUCAUCAAGAACUUAGUUAACAUGUGUUUGGUGAAAUUCCUAAUUCUCUUGUUAGUUUUGUACAUGUUUGAUCAUCUUUGAAAAAACCAAAUGCACAUAGCCUUGUUAAUAUGAAACUAAAGUAUGACUUAAAGCUUCAUAUGUGAAUUUAGUGACCAUAUACAUCCUAUGUGAGUUUUUGAGCCUAUUGAAAGUGUGCAUUUUUCAUACACUCCUAUUCUUUCAUGUGUGAUGAACUUAUGUGAGAUACAUCUCUAGAACUUGCGUAACGAUCUUUCGAAAUGUUUGUCAUUGAUUGCAUGAACUUGGAAAUGAUAGAGGCAUUAGGUUUACCACUAUGGCCCAAAUAACCAUGUUUCCCAAAGAAAAAUGAUAUCAUUAGAUUGCCAAUUUGAGCCGUAUUUGUUGAACCUUUUGUUUCUUAUCACCAGAUAUGUCUACCCUUAUACCUGAAACAUUUUUCCUUACCAUUUCCAAGCGAGCAAUGCGAGAUUGUCUUAUGAGAAACGUUUGUGAAAUACUGUGAAGAUGUUUGGCAAAAGAAUAAGUGUGGGGGUAUUUCAUGUUUGUGAAUUAAAAAAAAAAAAAAAAAAAAAUAAAUAAAUAAAAAAAAAAGAGAAAAGAAAAAGAAAAAGAAAGAUUGUAUACGAAGAAAAAAGAAAAAAAAAAAUUGUUUUUCAAGUUUCAGUUUAAGGGUGUGAUUGGAGGUUUCUGAAGAAUCGUUGGAGAGCUUGAGUUCUUAUAAAUCUAGACAAAAGAAUUGCUUGCAAUGUAGCUUGGAACUUGUGUUUUCCUAUUCUUUCGUUUCAAUAACCCUAUCCCUAAGCCUCAUUACAUCCAAUAAAAGUCCUCUUGAUUUAAGUUUUGCAAUUAUGACUGUGGAGAAAUGAUCUUUAUGCAAGCUUAUGGUAGAAAUUUCACAUUUGUUUCUUUGAGCGAAACACAUUAAAACUAAACACAUGUGUGAUUGAGUGCAUAUCCAGUAAGAAGGUCGCUAGUUUGCAUAUGAUGAUUUUAAAAAUAAAAACUUGAAAUUGCAUUAGCAUGGCUAUCAAACACACUACAUUUCAAGGAUGAUUUAAAAAUUACUGCUAAUAUUUGAAUAAGGAAGAUGAACUUGGAUUAGUUCCUUGAUGCUAGCUAUGGUUCUUGAUGAUUUGUUUUCUUAAAUGAAUUUCUAUGAGGGUCACAUAGAGGGAAGCUAAUUUUUUUUUUUGUUACUUCUUGUUCUUAUUUUCUUUGUUUUGCUCGAGGGCUAGCAAAAGUUAAGUGUGGGGGUAUUUGAUCGGAUCAUAUUUAUAUAUAUUUUUACUUCGAAUUCACUCGUCUUUUCUUAGUUAGUUCCUUAUAUUUUUGAGCUAUUUACGUUAUUUUUGUGUUAUAGGAUUUGUUAUGCAAAGAAAAUAAAAAUAGAACAAGUAAAAUUUUAUGUAAUAAAUUUGUCAAAACUGUCUGUGUAGAUCAGCUUUUAAAUUAAAUUAAAAAAAAUAUAUAAUAAUGAUAAGUCAUGAUGAUGUUUGAAACAUCAUCAUGAUGGUUUUGUUUUGUAGAAGAAAAGAAAGGAACGGAUGGAGAAGAAGAAAAGAAAGGAAUAAAAAAAAUUAAAAGAAGAAGAAAAAGGAGAAUCCAAAGCGUGAGGGAGCGGGAGAAGGGACUGCCCUUUGGGCAGUUCGCAGAGAGAAAGGAAAGAGCUGCCUUUGCAGCACAAGGAAAGAAGGCAGACAGCUGCCCUUACAGCGUGAGCGAUAAUAAUAAUAGGAGGGAGAAACGAAUAGAAUAUAGAAAAUAGCGUGAGGGGAGUACGGGAAGGAUUGGAGUGAGAAAGAGGAGGAGAAAAGGAGCUGCCCUUCGGGGCAGCUGAAGAGAGCUGCUAGAGAGAGGUGAGAGAGCAGUCAAGAGGUCAAUGGGGAGCUGCCCUUUGGGCAGCUCGAGAAGAGCACAGGGGGUGACGCGGGAUUGGUGCAAAACAAGACGGGCAGAGACCAGUGACAGAAGAUGAGGAAAGACAUACGGGGGAGAGAGGUUGGUCAGCACAGCAGAGAGAAGAAGCCAAGUCCACGGAAUGGAGAGGAGAGCACAGCAAGAGUUGGUCAGAGCACAGAAAGCAGAAGCCUUUUCUUUCGGUUUAAUCUUUCCAAACUCCUAUUUUUAUUUUUGUUUUAAUAAUGUGUAAUUAAUUUUAUUUUGGCUAGAGGUUAAGUCGAAACCAUGAAUAUAUUUGUAAUAUGAAUUGAUUACCUUCGGUUGUGAUUUCAUAAGUUGUGUUUUCAAUUUACUUAUCCGUUCGUAUAAAAACUGAUUUGUGUAUGUUGGUUGAGAGUGCAC
rnacentral:lncRNA from 1 species